GGUGUUGUAGCUGUGGAAGUGGAGGUGGUGAGUGCAGCAGCGGUUCCGGAAGUGGUGUGGCCGGCGGAGUUGGAUGUGACGUCAUCGGAGGGGUCUCCGGCCGUGUUUUCAUGUUCAAUGGCGGCGGCGCAGUGGAUCUGUUGGAGUUGCACACAGCGCAACGCAUCUUUGAUCAACACAAAUUGACACAAACCGAGUAACUUCUGAAUGUGACUGAAGUAAUCAACUGUUUAACGUCCAUUUAUGAUGUUUUGGAACAAAACCACAAGGACUUGGUCAAUGUGCCACUCUGUGUCGACAUGUGUCUGAACUGGCUGCUGAACGUAUUUGAUACGGGUAUGAGUGGAAGAAUCAGAGUGCUUUCUUUGAAAAUUCGCUUGACGUGACUCUUCAAGGAUCAACUGGAGGAAAAAUACAAGUAUCUCUUCAAACAAGUCGCUGAACCCACAGAUUUAUGUGACCAACGAAGCCUGAGUCUUUUGCUUUACGAUGCAGUCCAGAUCCCUUGGCAGCUGGGUGAGGUAGCUUCAUUUGGAGGCUGCAACAUUGAGCCAAGUAUCCGCAGUUGCUUCCAACAUGGCCAGAACAAACCAGAGAUUGACGUUGAACGCUUUGUCGAGUGGAUGAGAUUGGAGCCUCAGUCCAUGGUGUGGCUGCCUGUUCGACACCGUGUGGCAGCUGCUGAAACUGCAAAACAUCAGGCUAAGUGUAACAUCUGCAAAGAGUACCCAAUCGUAGGUUUCAGGUACCGCAGUCUCAAGCACUUCAAUUCUGACAUCUGCCAAAGCUGUUUCUUUUCGGGGCGCACAUCAAAGGGACACAAGUUACAUUGCCCCAUGGUGGAGUACUGCACUCCGAACCUACCCCGGAAGAGAGAGCCCAGAGAAUUGCCAAAGCUGUCCGCAAACAGUCAAUAGAAGUGAAGGAAACUUGGGAGCAAUUGAAAAUCCAUGCGAGCAACUGGCAGGAACAGGUGGAAAAGGUGUUGGAGAAACUUCAAGAACUGCAGAAAGCUCUGGAUGAUCAUGAGGCUCAUGUGAUAACAGCUGAAGGGGUCCGCACUGAUUGGCAACCUGUGGGUGAACUGCUUAUUGACUCAUUGCAGGAUCACAUUGAUAAAACCUCAGGGUUGGAGUCGAAGAAUCAGAGUGCUUUCUUUGAAAAUUGUCUUGAUCUGUCCAUCCAAGCGUCAACUGGAGGAAAAAUACAAGUGUCAGUACUAAAUCUAUCAUUGCUGAUACACUUGUAAACUGUAGGUUUAACUGGAGGUAAACUUUGUUUAAUAAACUAGCACACUCAAUAAACUGACAAAAAUUACAUACCAGAUGUUUACUGUCUUCUCAUAAUCUCUGUGAUGUCUGGUGAGGGUGCAAGUGAGAAGGCUCUCUGCCAGUAAGUUUUAGUUCACGCAAAGUUGCAUCAUUACUGAAGUUAUUUAUGCUGUAAAUGAAGGAGAACAGUGAUGUGUAUAUCCUGUGCAUUAUGUUCCUAUUAUCGAGUGUGUGUUUUUUGUGUGUGUGGACCUAUUGAUCAACUGGAAUUUUUGAUUAUUCAGCACAUUCCUGGGACCACA